rnacentral:rRNA from 1 species
AUUGAACGCUGGCGGCAGGCCUAACACAUGCAAGUCGAGCGGAGCGGCGGACGGGUGCGUAAUGCUUAGGAAUCUGCCUGGUACCGGGGGAGAACGUCCGCAAAUGGGCGCUAAUACCGCAUACUAUCAGAUGAGCCUAGGCCGGAUUAGCUAGUUGGUGGGGUAAAGGCCUACCAAGGCGACGAUCCGUAACUGGUCUGAGAGGAUGAUCAGUCACACUGGAACUGAGACACGGUCCAGACUCCUACGGGAGGCAGCAGUGGGGAAUAUUGGACAAUGGGCGAAAGCCUGAUCCAGCCAUGCCGCGUGUGUGAAGAAGGUCUUAGGAUUGUAAAGCACUUUAAGUUGGGAGGCGUUACCAACAGAAUAAGCACCGGCUAACUUCGUGCCAGCAGCCGCGGUAAUAC